rnacentral:rRNA from 1 species
CCGCGUGUGUGAAGAAGGCCUUAGGGUUGUAAAGCACUUUCAGCGAGGAGGAAGGGUAAUGUGUUAAUAGCACAUUGCAUUGACGUUACUCGCAGAAGAAGCACCGGCUAACUCCGUGCCAGCAGCCGCGGUAAUACGGAGGGUGCAAGCGUUAAUCGGAAUUACUGGGCGUAAAGCGCACGCAGGCGGUUUGUUAAGUCAGAUGUGAAAUCCCCGCGCUUAACGUGUGAACUGCAUUUGAAACUGGCAAGCUUGAGUCUUGUACAGGGGGGUAGAAUUCCANGUGUAGCGGUGAAAUGCGUAAAGAUCUGGAAGAAUACCGGUGGCGAAGGCGGCCCCCUGGACCAAGACUGACGCUCAGGUGCGAAAACCUGGGGAGCCAACACGAUUAAAUACCCUGGUAAUCCACCCUGUAAACGAUGUCGAUUUGGAGGUUGUGCCCUUGAGGCGUGUCUUCCGGAGCUAACGCGUUAAAUCGACC